CCCUUAGAUGUUCUGAACCGCACGCGUGUUACACUGAUGCAUUCAACGAGCUUUACCUUGGCCGAGAGGCCUGGGAAAUCUUUUUAGCAUGCAUCGUGAUAGGGAUUGAUUAUUGCAAUUAUUAAACAUGAACGAGGAAUUCCUAGUAAACGCAUUUCAUCAAAAUGCAUUGAUUACGUCCCUGCCCUUUGUACACACCGCCCGUCGCACCUACCGAUUGAGUGGUCCGGUGAAGUCUCGAGAUUGUGGCAAUCUCCUUUAUUGGAGUUUGACUGCGAGAACUUGCCUAAACCUUAUCACUUAGAGGAAGGUGAAGUCGUAACA
rnacentral:rRNA from 1 species